rnacentral:rRNA from 1 species
AGUGAACGCUGGCGGUAGGCCUAACACAUGCAAGUCGAACGGCAGCACAGUAAGCGCUUGCUCUUACGGGUGGCGAGUGGCGGACGGGUGAGGAAUACAUCGGCAUCUACUUUUUCGUGGGGGAUAACGUAGGGACACUUACGCUACUACCGCAUACGACCUACGGGUGAAAUCAGGGGAUCUUCGGACCUUUCGCGAUUCUUUUAGCCGAUGUCGCAUUAGCUAGUUGGCGGGGUAAAGGCCCACCAAGGCGACGAUCCGUAGCUGGUCUGAGAGGAUGAUCAGCCACACUGGAACUGAGACACGGUCCAGACUCCUACGGGAGGCAGCAGUGGGGAAUAUUGAACAAUGGGCGCAAGCCUGAUCCAGCCAUACCGCGUGGGUGAAGAAGGUCUUCGGGUUGUAAAGCCCUGUUGUUGGGAAAGAAAAGCAGCAGGUUAAUACCCCGCUGUUCUGACGGUACCCAAAGAAUAAGCACCGGCUAACUUCGUG